rnacentral:rRNA from 1 species
UUUGCUGACGAGUGGCGGACGGGUGAGUAAUGUCUGGGAAACUGCCUGAUGGAGGGGGAUAACUACUGGAAACGGUAGCUAAUACCGCAUAACGUCGCAAGACCAAAGAGGGGGACCUUCGGGCCUCUUGCCAUCGGAUGUGCCCAGAUGGGAUUAGCCUAGUAGGUGGGGUAACGGCUUCACCCCUAGGCGACGAUCCCCCCCUUAGAAGGUAUUAGCUAACCGUUUCCAGUAGUUAUCCCCCUCCAUUCAGGCAGUCCCUGA